CCAGUUGUAUAAAGAGCUCUUCCUGCUACCUACAGAAAACUUGGCAGUGGUUCCAGGUGACAAGAACAGGUUCUCUGCAUCAAAGGGGUUCCAGAGGACUUCCAGCUGUAGCUUGAUAGUGCCCAGUUCAGUUAUAUCCACAAUGAUUGCUUGAGGCUUGGUAGUAAAGAAGUUUAUGCUGUCACAUGUCACAACACCAACUAGAACCGUGGCCAGUCCUCGCAGUUCUGUCACCUUGAUUUCAAACUGCUCAUGGAGAUUGGGUAUAAAGAUCUUUUCUUCUUCAUCCCACGUUUGGCUGUCAUCAGUCUCAAUCUUGCCUUUCAACUUCCAUUUUUGGCGUCCCAGUCGC
rnacentral:lncRNA from 1 species